UGGUCCCCGUUCCUUCUUGUUUCUCGUUUUUAAAGUAACCACAUAUGUUCUCUCUGGUCUCUGAUUGAUCGUGUUCACAGGGAACUUAUUAAUGAGGAAAUCCACAGGUCGGCGUUGAUUCAGCUUCAUUGUUUUAAUUCAAGUUGAUGUAUGAAACAUUAAUAAUCAUUAACACAAUAUAAUGAUGAGAUUCUAUAAUGUUGCAUCCUGCCAUCAUUCAACAGGCUGAAUCAUAGCUUACCUGUCUGUAUAGAUCCACGUAGAUCUCAGUGAUAAACUUCCAGGUCAUUCAUUCUUGAUCGGUGCUUUCUUUCCAUAUGAGAGAGUGUUCAGCGGUAACACGUUGCCGGGAAAAGCGUGGGAGGCUAUGAGUUCCUGGUUGCUGGGAAACUAUGAGCCACAUGAAGUGGGGAAUGACAUGUUUGAUCAGACCAGAUCCACGGAGGCCCCACCCCACAACCCACAGGACCCAAAGAAUCCACUACCAAUCUCCCGGUCCCAGACACCAUCUGACACCCCAAGAGAUGCAGAAAUGAAUGGAGUGAUGUGAUGUCAUUACCCCUGCUACACCUUUUCCUGGGGCAUACAAUGGUUGGUCCGCGGUCCUUCAGCUGUCCCCACAUAAAGCCCCUCCUCAUGGCAUGUGCGUCGCCGUCUCUGCGCCAGGCGUUUUCAUGGUCUGCUUCUCUUUCUUUUCCCUCGGAGGUUCACACGAGAGACUGUCCUGUGCAUGUUUGAGACUGGUUUUGCGGAGUGUAUGCCCAAACUUCCACGAUGUUGAGACGUGUUGUAUUUUCUUGUAUUUUAAUCUUAAUAGAUGUUUACAACAAAUGCUUACACCA